rnacentral:lncRNA from 1 species
GCAAAGCAGAGAGGAGUGCAGAGGCAGAAGAAAGAGGAGAGAGGAUACAGAAAAGAAAGAGCAGUAGAAGAGGAGUGCAGAUGCAGAAUAAAGAGCAUUGAGGAGACAGAACAUGAAGAGCAACAGAGGAGUUUAGACGCAGAAUGAUGAGGAGUGAAUAAGGAGGGGAAAAAGGGAGAGAAGAGUAUGGGAAAAAAAGUCUAGUAGAGGAGAGGAAGACAGCAGACAGGAGAAGUUAGAAAAGAUAGAAGAGAGAAGGGAGGGAGGGGGCAUCAAGGAAAGGUUUCCAAAGAAAAAAAAAAAAAAAAAGAGAGAUGAAGAAGAUGGGAGUUCAACAGAAGAACUGAAGAUGUAAGAAGUGGGGAGGCGUGUGCAGAGAGCAGGAGAGCAGAGAGAGAAGGUGAGAGCAAAUUCCGUCACUGAGAGAAGAAGAAAAAGGAACGUCAAUAAUUUUUGUCUCUAUUAAAG